UUUCCUUUUUCUAAAACUUACGAUAAGAUUUGAUAUACAGAAGUGGUUAAAUAAGAUAAUAAUAAGUUUUACUUUUUGUAUAACGGUUAAACAAUUAACUCAGCUGUAUUAGCUAAUCCCGAAACAAGAGGAUCUAAAUUAAAGGAUUGUCUGGCAAAAAAAUCUAAUGUGGCAUUAUUAGUUGAAGACCUUAAUUUAGGAGUGAAAUGCUUACAACUCUUGUGAUAUCUGGAUGGCAGAGACAAGUAUUUAGUACUUUAAGACAUGUAAAAGGUGUUGAGAUCUUUUACCUUGAGAAUAUUAUUUUUAGACUUCUUUUAUAGAGUUAACCCUCUUAAUCAAUUUUUACUUUAAAAUUUUACUAUAUUUUAAUCUCUAUUCUACCUGCCAAUUUAGACGAACUGUUUGUCUAAAUUAAUAAUGUUUAAAUUAGUAAUAGAAUGGAAAAUCCUAAUUCAAGAAAAAGGAACUCGGCAAACUUUAGCCUUUAACUGUUUAUCAAAAACAUAGCCUAAAGCUUUUAUUUUAGGUGACACCUGCCCAGUGCUAUAAUGGUAAACGGCCGCAGUACCCUGACUGUGCUAAGGUAGCGUAAUCAUUUGGCUUUUAAAUGGAGUCGUGUAUGAAUGGAUAAAUAAGGGCAAGCUGUCUCUUUCUGAAUUUAUUGAAUUUAUUUAUAAGGUGAAAAUACCUUAGUAGUUAGUAGAAGGACGAUAAGACCCUUGGAGUUUUUACUAACAGGUUGUAUUGACCCAAUGUUUUUGCUGGGGCGGCACAGAGACAGGUUAAACUCUCUCUCCAUAUUUGCCGAUAAUUUUAAGAAAAAUCAAACUACCCGAGGGAUAACAGCAUAAUUCUUUAUAGAGUUUGUGACCUCGAUGUUGGAUUAGGAAUUUCUUUGGCUAGACGCC
rnacentral:rRNA from 1 species